rnacentral:rRNA from 1 species
UACAGAGGGGGCAAGCGUUGUUCGGAAUUACUGGGCGUAAAGGGCGCGUAGGCGGCCUUCUAAGUCGAACGUGAAAUCCCCGGGCUCAACCCGGGAACUGCGUCCGAUACUGGAAGGCUUGAAUCCGGGAGAGGGAUGCGGAAUUCCAGGUGUAGCGGUGAAAUGCGUAGAUAUCGGAAGGAACAUCAGUGGCGAAAGCGGCUUCCUGGACCAGUACCGACGUUCAGGCACGAAAGCGU